rnacentral:rRNA from 1 species
UACGUAGGUGGCGAGCGUUAUCCGGAAUUAUUGGGCGUAAAGGGUGCGUAGGCGGCUUGUUAAGUUUAAGGUGAAAGCGUGGGGCUCAACCCCAUACAGCCUUAGAUACUGGCGAGCUAGAGUACUGGAGAGGGAAGUGGAAUUCCAUGUGUAGCGGUAAAAUGCGUAGAUAUAUGGAGGAACACCAGAGGCGAAGGCGGCUUCCUGGACAGAGACUGACGCUCAGGCACGAAAGCGUGGGGAGCAAAUA